rnacentral:lncRNA from 1 species
GGUUUCAAUAGAAUACCAAUAGCUUAACAUUACAAAAGAGUUACUAGAGAAUAUAUAUAAAACCUAAUGGACUCUAAACUAACAGGCCCAAUAACAUAACCUAUUAUUUUAUUAUCUAACACCUACUCUCAAACUCAUGAUGCAUCAACAAGAAGCAUUAUGAGUUUGUCAAACAAAAUACGAAAAUAAAAUAAACUACCAAAUAAAAUAAACUUCUAACAUCACCCAUCAAGCUAAAGCUUACUAAGCUUUAAGCUUGUUACAAAUUAGCCCUGACAACAAAUCAACUCAAUUAAGAUCACGAUCAACUAAGAGGGGAGAACCAAACCAAAUUAAUCCAACAUCCAAUCCAAUGCAGUCCAAGCUAACCAAAAACCAAAUCAAU